AUGAACGCUGGCGGCGUGCCUAAUACAUGCAAGUCGAGCGAACAGAUGAGGAGCUUGCUCCUCUGACGUUAGCGGCGGACGGGUGAGUAACACGUGGAUAACCUACCUAUAAGACUGGGAUAACUUCGGGAAACCGGAGCUAAUACCGGAUAAUAUAUUGAACCGCAUGGUUCAAUAGUGAAAGACGGUUUUGCUGUCACUUAUAGAUGGAUCCGCGCCGCAUUAGCUAGUUGGUAAGGUAACGGCUUACCAAGGCAACGAUGCGUAGCCGACCUGAGAGGGUGAUCGGCCACACUGGAACUGAGACACGGUCCAGACUCCUACGGGAGGCAGCAGGAGGGAAUCUUCCGCAAUGGGCGAAAGCCUGACGGAGCAACGCCGCGUGAGUGAUGAAGGUCUUCGGAUCGUAAAACUCUGUUAUUAGGGAAGAACAAAUGUGUAAGUAACUAUGCACGUCUUGACGGUACCUAAUCAGAAAGCCACGGCUAACUACGU
rnacentral:rRNA from 1 species